GCUUGUCUCAAAGAUUAAGCCAUGCAUGUCUAAGUAUAAGCAAUUAUACCGUGAAACUGCGAAUGGCUCAUUAAAUCAGUUAUCGUUUAUUUGAUAAUACCUUACUACUUGGAUAACCGUGGUAAUUCUAGAGCUAAUACAUGCUGAAAAUCCCGACUUCGGAAGGGAUGUGUUUAUUAGAUAAAAAACCAAUGCCCUUCGGGGCUUUUUGGUGAUUCAUGAUAACUUUACGGAUCGCAUAGCCUUGCGCUGGCGACGGUUCAUUCAAAUUUCUGCCCUAUCAACUUUCGAUGGUAAGGUAUUGGCUUACCAUGGUUUCAACGGGUAACGGGGAAUUAGGGUUCGAUUCCGGAGAGGGAGCCUGAGAAACGGCUACCACAUCCAAGGAAGGCAGCAGGCGCGCAAAUUACCCAAUCCCGACACGGGGAGGUAGUGACAAUAAAUACUGAUACAGGGCUCUUUUGGGUCUUGUAAUUGGAAUGAGUACAAUUUAAACCUCUUAACGAGGAACAAUUGGAGGGCAAGUCUGGUGCCAGCAGCCGCGGUAAUUCCAGCUCCAAUAGCGUAUAUUAAAGUUGUUGCAGUUAAAAAGCUCGUAGUUGAAACUUGGGCCUGGCUGGCGGGUCCGCCUCACCGCGUGCACUCGUCCGGCCGGGCCUUCCUUCUGAAGAACCUCAUGCCCUUCACUGGGCGUGCUGGGGAAUCAGGACUUUUACUUUGAAAAAAUUAGAGUGUUCAAAGCAGGCCUUUGCUCGAAUACGUUAGCAUGGAAUAAUAAAAUAGGGCGUGCGUUUCUAUUUUGUUGGUUUCUAGAGACGCCGCAAUGAUUAACAGGAACAGUCGGGGGCAUCAGUAUUCAGUUGUCAGAGGUGAAAUUCUUGGAUUUACUGAAGACUAACUACUGCGAAAGCAUUUGCCAAGGAUGUUUUCAUUAAUCAGUGAACGAAAGUUAGGGGAUCGAAGACGAUCAGAUACCGUCGUAGUCUUAACCGUAAACUAUGCCGACUAGGGAUCGGGCGAUGUUCUUUUUCUGACUCGCUCGGCACCUUACGAGAAAUCAAAGUUUUUGGGUUCUGGGGGGAUUAUGGUCGCAAGGCUGAAACUUAAAGGAAUUGACGGAAGGUCACCACCAGGCGUGGAGCUGCGGCUUAAUUUGACUCAACACGGGGAAACUCACCAGGUCCAGAUGAAAUAAGGAUUGACAGAUUGAGAGCUCUUUCUUGAUUUUUCAGGUGGUGGUGCAUGGCCGUUCUUAGUUCGUGGGGUGACUUGUCUGCUUAAUUGCGAUAACGAGCGAGACCUUACUCUGCUAAAUAGCCAGGCUAACUUUGGUUGGUCGCCGGCUUCUUAGAGAGACUAUCAACUCAAGUUGAUGGAAGUUUGAGGCAAUAACAGGUCUGUGAUGCCCUUAGAUGUUCUGGGCCGCACGCGCGCUACACUGACAGAGCCAACGAGUUCUUUUCCUUGUUCGAAAGAAUUGGGUAAUCUUGUUAAACUCUGUCGUGCUGGGGAUAAAGCAUUGCAAUUAUUGCUUUUCAACGAGGAAUGCCUAGUAAGCGCGUGUCAUCAGCAUGCGUUGAUUACGUCCCUGACCUUUGUACACACCGCCCGUCGCUACUACCGAUUGAAUGGCUCAGUGAGGCCUUCGGACUGGCUCGAGGAGGUUGGCAACGACCACCUCAAGCCGGAAAGUUCGUCAAACUCGGUCAUUUAGAGGAAGUAAAAGUCGUAACAAGGUCUCCGUAGGUUAC
rnacentral:rRNA from 1 species